rnacentral:rRNA from 1 species
UGCCCUGGCAGUCAGAGGCGAUGAAGGACGUGCUAAUCUGCGAUAAGCGCCGGUAAGGUGAUAUGAACCGUUAUAACCGGCGAUUUCCGAAUGGGGAAACCCAGUGUGAUUCGUCACACUAUCAUUAACUGAAUCCAUAGGUUAAUGAGGCGAACCGGGGGAACUGAAACAUCUAAGUACCCCGAGGAAAAGAAAUCAACCGAGAUUCCCCCAGUAGCGGCGAGCGAACGGGGAGGAGCCCAGAGCCUGAAUCAGCAUGUGUGUUAGUGGAAGCGUCUGGAAAGGCGCGCGAUACAGGGUGACAGCCCCGUACACAAAAGCGCAUGUGCUGUGAGCUCGAUGAGUAGGGCGGGACACGUGGUAUCCUGUCUGAAUAUGGGGGGACCAUCCUCCAAGGCUAAAUACUCCUGACUGACCGAUAGUGAACCAGUACCGUGAGGGAAAGGCGAAAAGAACCCCGGCGAGGGGAGUGAAAAAGAACCUGAAACCGUGUACGUACAAGCAGUGGGAGCACAGGUUUACCUGUGUGACUGCGUACCUUUUGUAUAAUGGGUCAGCGACUUAU